rnacentral:rRNA from 1 species
GACGAACGCUGGCGGCGUGCUUAACACAUGCAAGUCGAACGGAAAGGCCCUGCUUUUGUGGGGUGCUCGAGUGGCGAACGGGUGAGUAACACGUGAGUAACCUGCCCUUGACUUUGGGAUAACUUCAGGAAACUGGGGCUAAUACCGGAUAGGAGCUCCUGCUGCAUGGUGGGGGUUGGAAAGUUUCGGCGGUUGGGGAUGGACUCGUGGCUUAUCAGCUUGUUUGUGGGGUAGUGGCUUACCAAGGCUUUGACGGGUAGCCGGCCUGAGAAGGUGACCGGCAACAUGGGGACUGAGAUGCGGCCCAGACUCGUACGGGAGGCAGUAGUGGGGAAUAUUGCAGAAUGGGCGGAAGCCUGAUGCAGCAACGCCGGGUGCGGGAUGACGGACUUAGGGUUGUAAACCGCUUUCGCCUGUGACGAAGCGUGAGUGACGGUAAUGGGUAAAGAAGCACCGGCUAACUACGUG